rnacentral:rRNA from 1 species
UACAGAGGUCUCAAGCGUUGUUCGGAUUCAUUGGGCGUAAAGGGCGCGUAGGCGGCUCGGCACGUCCGUUGUGAAAUCGCCCGGCUCAACUGGGCGGGGUCAGCGGAUACGGUCGAGCUUGAGCAAGCUAGGGGGUAAUGGAAUUCCCGGUGUAGUGGUGGAAUGCGUAGAGAUGUGGAGGAACACCUGUGGCGAAGGCGCCUUGCUGGCCGAUUUCUGACGCCGAGGCGCGAAAGCGUGGGGAGCAAACAGG